rnacentral:rRNA from 1 species
UACAGGGGGGGCAAGCGUUGUCCGGAAUUACUGGGCGUAAAGGGUUCGUAGGUGGCCAACUAAGUCAGACGUGAAAUCCCUCAGCUUAACUGGGGAACUGCGUCUGAUACUGGAUGGCUUGAGUGUAGGAGAGGAAUGCGGAAUUCCAGGUGUAGCGGUGAAAUGCGUAGAUAUCUGGAGGAACACCGGUGGCGAAGGCGGCAUUCUGGACUACAACUGACACUGAGGAACGAAAGCCAGGGGAGCAAACGGG